rnacentral:rRNA from 1 species
AUUGAACGCUGGCGGCAGGCUUAACACAUGCAAGUCGAGCGAGCGGCGGACGGGUGAGUAAUGUCUGGGAAACUGCCUGCUGGCGGGGGAUAACUACUGGACACGGUAGCUAAUACCGCAUACCAUCAGAUGUGCCCAGAUGGGAUUCGCUAGUAGGUGGGGUAAUGGCUCACCUAGGCGACGAUCCCUAGCUGGUCUGAGAGGAGGACCAGCCACACUGGAACUGAGACACGGUCCAGACUCCUACGGGAGGCAGCAGUGGGGAAUAUUGCACAAUGGGCGAAAGCCUGAUGCAGCCAUGCCGCGUGGAUGAAGAAGGCCUUCGGGUUGUAAAGCACUUUCAGCGAGGAGGAGUUACUCGCAGAAGAAGCACCGGCUAACUCCGUGCCAGCAGCCGCGGUAAUAC